rnacentral:rRNA from 1 species
UACGUAGGCAGCGAGCGUUGUUCGGAAUUACUGGGCGUAAAGAGUGUGUAGGCGGUGCUCCCAGUCUGUUGUGAAAUCUCCCGGCUUAACUGGGAGGGUGCAGCGGAAACUAGAGUGCUAGAGGGUGGGAGAGGUAAGCCGGAAUUCCUGGUGUAGCGGUGAAAUGCGUAGAUAUCAGGAGGAACACCUGUGGUGUAGACAGCUUACUGGACCACUUCUGACGCUGAGACACGAAAGCGUGGGGAUCAAACAGG